rnacentral:rRNA from 1 species
AACGAACGCUGGCGGCUUGCCUAACACAUGCAAGUCGAACGAGACCUUCGGGUCUAGUGGCGCACGGGUGCGUAACGCGUGGGAACCUGCCCUUAGGUUCGGAAUAACUCCCCGAAAGGGGUGCUAAUACCGGAUAAUGUCUUCGGACCAAAGAUUUAUCGCCUUUGGAUGGGCCCGCGUUGGAUUAGCUAGUUGGUAGGGUAAAAGCCUACCAAGGCGACGAUCCAUAGCUGGUCUGAGAGGAUGAUCAGCCACACUGGGACUGAGACACGGCCCAGACUCCUACGGGAGGCAGCAGUGGGGAAUAUUGGGCAAUGGGCGAAAGCCUGAUCCAGCAAUGCCGCGUGAGUGAUGAAGGCCUUAGGGUUGUAAAGCUCUUUUACCCGGGAUGAUAAUGACAGUACCGGGAGAAUAAGCUCCGGCUAACUCCGUG